rnacentral:miRNA from 2 species
UUGUACAUAGUAGGCUUUCAUU